GGCAGCAGAGGGCUCUACUGUGUCUUCAGCUCCAGGCUGGACCCAGGUGGAUUUCAUCAUAGAUGUUGGCCUGGCCAAGAAACUGGCGCCGAACUCCCGAGGCCUGUUCGUCUACACACCAGAGAAGUCAAGGUCACUCUUGGCCUGCGGGUUUGUCGUUGGCCUUGAAGCAGCGUUUGUCCUGCCGCCAAAAUCUCCCCACUCCUCUUUCCUCAUGUCAAACUUUGUGAAGAACUGAAAAGAGGCAAAGACCCAAGUCAGCACUCCCUCCCGGGAAAAGCAGGUGACUCGGUGGUUAAGGAGCUGGACACGUUCCCAGGAACGCCGCCCAUUUCCGAGCAUGGAUAAGCAGGAAUCCCUCCCGCUACCUCAGGCCCGGCAACUCGAGUUCGGUAGCAGGGUCAGGCUGGGUGAGGACUGAGGGGGGAUGUGCAGGAUGCUGGACUGUGCAGGAUGCGCCCCCCCCCCCAUCUGCUGGAGAGUCCCCUGUCUGGGAGAAACGAAGGGCCAGAAGUCAGAGCCGGCGGAGCAGACAGCAAACAGAUCGAUGGAACACAGGACUUUGGAGGGAGGGUCUGAGAAACUUUAUUGGCAACCUCCAGAUAUGAAGGCGAUUCCUCUACCUCUGAUGCCCAGCACACUUUUCUCCUUCCAUCACCGUUAGACGUGGGAUUGAGAGCUGUCUGUCUCCCUGGAUACCAUGCAGAAGAAACACGACUGGAUACAAAAGGGGCGCGGAGUUACACCUCGUCCUUGCCGUAGCGGAGUGACAGCUUAAUUUCCCCUGUCAAUAGAAUUCCUUUAAACGGGGCUGAAUAUUUGCCAGGUUCCAGCGGCUUAUGUGAUUUAUCUCAAUUUGCAAGAAAGGGAAAAAGGAAAAAAAUGUCCAUCAGAAAAUGCAUGUGUGGCUGAGAAACCAAUGUAAUACAGCAAGUGUCAAAUACUACGAUUAUACACCUUGAUAGAUAGAUAGAUAGAUUAUAAUUACUGUGAGUAGUUAAGAUGAGUAGUUAGAAAAUGGAUGGAAUGGAUAGGUGGGUGGAUGGAUAUAUGAAUUACAACUGGAAAAAAAAAAUUGUACAGGAAGCUUUACUACAUCAAGCAUACAAUAAAUAACCCUUCAUUAGUUCUGUAUAAAUUAUCAGUCUCAGUAACAACAGGUCUUCCUGUUCAAGUUUGUUCUGGGGGAAGCAAAUU